CUAUUUUGUGAUUUAAUGAUUUAUUAAAAUUCGAGAAAAUAGUCUCUUUAUUUUUAUUCUUGAAUUUAUGUGUAGGGGAUUUCAGGAAGUUCGAAAUUGCGCCUAGAUCAGAUUUUUAUUAUUGAGUUGAUAAUGAAUAUUUACGUAUCAUUUUUAUUUGGGCCUUAGGAUGUAUUAAUUUGCUGUAUUUAAAAAUAUUGGGCUUAAGUAUAUGUUAGCGGGCUAGGUAUAAGAUUUAUUUAAUUUAUCUGAUAAAUAACUAUAGUAGCGUGUUCACAGAAACAGUUCUGAAAAUCUUUUAUAAAAUUCGUCUAACCUAGCGGUUUCUACGAAUGAAACGUGUAGAAACCGUUCCGCUUUUCCCUCUUCUUUUCUGAAGACUUGCACAGACGGUUUUCACAAACUGAUCAUCUGAAAAUUCUCAUUCUCCAACUUUAUAUUCUGCUAUUUUCUCCUUUCGUUUCACAACCAUUCAAAAAACUCUGAAAAACCUUCUUUGUUAAAGUUCUUCAAGUAUUCAAGUUUUAGUUGCUGCCAAGAAAUCAAGAAUUCUUGUGCGGCGCAAUUAGGAUCUCUAUCCCCGAGUUAAGUGUUAGUCAAGUUUGCUAUCAAAGGUUCGAGGCGAGGAGCAGGGAGAUGCGUGAUGGAUGUGUGUGGUGCUUAGGAUAUUUUAAUCAUGCUUUCUAUAGUUUUAUUAAAGACUCUUUGUUGGUUAAGAAAAAUUUAGGAUUUGAAGUAAGUUUAUUUUGAUGGUAAAGUUUAAGAAUUUCUAGUGAAUCAUAUUUGACUUUCUUAUAUAAUGUUAGGUACUUUGAUAAAUUAGUGUUAUGUUUUCAAUCUAGUGUGUAUGGUAUUUUUCUAAAAAUGAUAUUUGGUGGUUUUACCUUCGAUUAUUAGGUUCUCUACAGGGUUUUGAAAUUAGAUUAUUUGAGUUUUCAAUAUUUUUACGAAAAUACUAUAUGAUAUUUAAUUAGAUCAAAGUUUAUAUUUAGGGUGUUACAUUUAGUGGUAUCAGAGCAGGUCUACGUUUCUGUAGACUUG